rfam:Lactobacillus bifermentans DSM 20003 NODE_16, whole genome shotgun sequence.
GAUCAUCUGAGGUGUACGAGUAUUUCUACUCUAGUAUUGACCGAUCAAGUAACAAAGUAUUGGGAUCAACUUAUAGUUGAUGAUCAAGCAUGCCUUUUCACGAGGAAGCUAGUAUCAUUAAACAGCUGAGCCCACCUGCCAUUCAGCGGGUUCAAUACACAAGAAAUGACAACGGCACUACCAGAUAUCGC